rnacentral:rRNA from 1 species
CCUACGGGUGGCAGCAGUGGGGAAUAUUGGACAAUGGGGGGAACCCUGAUCCAGCCAUGCCGCGUGUGUGAAGAAGGCCCUCGGGUUGUAAAGCACUUUCAGUGAGGAAGAACGCCUGGUGGUUAAUACCCAUCAGGAAAGACAUCACUCACAGAAGAAGCACCGGCUAACUCCGUGCCCGCAGCCGCGGUAAUACGGAGGGUGCGAGCGUUAAUCGGAAUUACUGGGCGUAAAGCGCGCGUAGGUGGCUUGAUAAGCCGGUUGUGAAAGCCCCGGGCUCAACCUGGGAACGGCAUCCGGAACUGUCAAGCUAGAGUGCAGGAGAGGAAGGUAGAAUUCCCGGUGUAGCGGUGAAAUGCGUAGAGAUCGGGAGGAAUACCAGUGGCGAAGGCGGCCUUCUGGACUGACACUGACACUGAGGUGCGAAAGCGUGGGUAGCAAACAGGAUUAGAUACCCCUGUAGUC